CCUACGGGUGGCAGCAGUGAGGAAUAUUGGUCAAUGGGCGCAAGCCUGAACCAGCCAAGUCGCGUGAAGGAAGAAGGCCCUACGGGUUGUAAACUUCUUUUGUCGGGGAGUAAGGGGAGGGACGUGUCCCUUUUUGUAUGUACUUUAUGAAUAAAGCACGGCUAACCCCGUUCCAGCAGCCCCGGUAAUACGGAGGGGCCGAGCGUUAGUCGGAUUUAUUGGGGUUAAAGGGAGCGUAGAGGGGUUGUUAAGUCAGUUAUGAAAGUUUGCGGCUCAACCGUAAAAGUGCCAGUGAUACUGGCAGCCUUGAGUGCAGUUGAGGUAGGCGGAAUGCGUGGUGUAGCGGUGAAAUGCUUAGAUAUCACGAAGAACUCCGAUUGCGAAGGCAGCCUACUGGACUGCCACUGACGUUGAGGCUCGAAAGUGUGGGGAUCAAACAGGAUUAGAUACCCUUGUAGUC
rnacentral:rRNA from 1 species